GUAGUGAGCCUUUACUGUAGCAAUUACCGCAGGGAAUUAUAAUAUUUGUUUAUUCUUCAUUCCCACCUCCGCCCUUACUCUGCACACUGAAACUUCCGGUCGGUCUGGACUGUUUACCUUUGUACCCGCGGAGGAGCUGCUCUGCCGCUGAGACGCAGUCAGAAGCCAGUAAUAAAUGGGUGUUAUUAAGUUGCUCCAACUGGCCUCCCACUUGAGAUCCUCCUGCCUAAGCCUCCUGAGGAGCUGGAAGCACAGGCAUGACUCACUAUACCUGGCUAUAAGUUGCACUUUAAAGAUGAAGAAGCUGAAGCUCAGGGAGGAUAAAUUAUGCACUGAAGGUCACCCAAGUAAUCUAGAAACUUCAGGAUCUUUGUACACAUGAGACUGGAUGGAGCCCAGCACAAGCCUGUAACCUCAACACUGAGGCAGGAGGAUCAUGAGUUUGAGGCCAGCCCGUGCUACACAGCGAGACUCUUUCAAAAAACCAAAAGAAGGGCCGGGGAUUUAGCUCAGUGGUUUUGCCGCCUGCUGCGGAAGCACAAGGACCCGAGUUUGAUCCCCGACGCGGUCACACAGCGCAGUGAGCAAGCCCAUAUAUGCUGACGGAUCCAGGACACAAUACCACGAGGACCUAGCUACACAGGGUCCACACUGGAGGAGACAACCAAGACACUGCCAGAAUCUGCUUGUGCAGGAAAAAAAAGAAAAAAAUCUGACCUGGGCUUUAAAUUUGGACUUACAAGCUUUAACCUUGAGAAAGUCAUGUAUCUUUCUGGGUCUCAGCUUCCUUAUCUGUAAAAUGGGCUCCAUGUUAGUACUUGUGUCAUUGCAUGUUGUGGGGACCUCAGCUUCCCUUUGCUGGAACAGGAAGGCAUCUACAGAGGGGAAGAGGACUGGGAAGUUCAUCAGAUUGAGGUGGACAGUGAGGCACAGCAGGGGCAGCCAGACCGUGCGGUGCCAGGGCCUCUCCCCUCCAGAGGGCGUGGCUCCUCUUGGAUCUCCGCAUCCCAGCCCGCUGACCCAGCGCCUGGCUGGCAGCCCUGGAGGCAUGGGCCCAGCUGGUGGCAGGAGCCCUGGACAGGGGAAGGAGCAACUGGGAAACCCAUGACCCCCCUCAAAUGUAUGGGGUGCAGUGGUGGGGAGAAUACUUCCCCCUUCCUGGCCCUAGCCCCAGAGCCAGCACCUCCUUAGACCUGGCUCCCUGGGUCUGCCCAAACCUCCCUGCAGAUUCCUCUUGGCUCCCUGCUGGUUGCUCCAGCUCACAUGUGCUGCUUUCGAAUAAAGGAACUUGGAACCAC
rnacentral:lncRNA from 1 species